AUACACGUCACCCACACUGAGAGCAGUGCCCUUCAAGAUUACAAGUGCAGAGAGUGCUGGGAUUGAGCAGACACCUUUGAUUGAAGAAUGAUGCCUAGUUAUCACUAUUCAAAACAAAAUCCAUCCUAAAGACCUGAGCUGAUGAUCUUCAUAAUGAGAAAUCAAAGUUUCUGGUGCGAAGAGUCUUUGUGUGAAAAUGGACCCAGCGCUGCAGAGGUCUGUCAGCUCCCAGCCAAUCACUCAGAAAAUGGGACAGAAACCCAUGGCCCAAAUCUAGGCCUGAUCUGGGCCUCAUGGGUGUGGGUCUAUGGGUGGGUCUGUGCAUGGAUGGGCCUGUGCGUGGGUGGGUCUGUGCAUGUGCAUGGGUGGGUCUGUGCAUGUGUGUGCCUGUGUGUGUGUGGGUGUGAGUGUGUAUGUGUGUAUGCGUGCGUGUGUGUGUGCCUAUGUAUGUGUGUGUCUGCAAGUGGGCCUGCGCGUGUGCGUGUGGGUCUGUGUGUGUGCGCAUGAGUGUGUCUGUGUGUGUGUGUACGCGUGGGUCUGUGUGUGUAUGCACUGUGUGUGUCUGUGUGUGUGUGCAUGCGCAGGAGUGUGCGUGAGCCUAUGUGUGUGUGCGUGUGGGUGUGUGUAUAUGUGUGUGUGCGUGCGCGCGCGCGCGUGGGUCUGUCUGUGUGCGUGCGUGUGGGUCUGUUUGUGUGUGUACGCGUGCGCAGGUGAGUCUGUGUGUGUGCAUGUG